GACGAACGCUGGCGGCGUGCUUAACACAUGCAAGUCGAACGGAAAGGCCCUGCUUUUGUGGGGUGCUCGAGUGGCGAACGGGUGAGUAACACGUGAGUAACCUGCCCUUGACUUUGGGAUAACUUCAGGAAACUGGGGCUAAUACCGGAUAGGAGCUCCUGCUGCAUGGUGGGGGUUGGAAAGUUUCGGCGGUUUGGGAUGGACUCGCGGCUUAUCAGCUUGUUGGUGGGGUAGUGGCUUACCAAGGCUUUGACGGGUAGCCGGCCUGAGAGGGUGUCCGGCCACAUUGGGACUGAGAUACGGCCCAGACUCCUACGGGAGGCAGCAGUGGGGAAUAUUGCACAAUGGGCGGAAGCCUGAUGCAGCAACGCCGCGUGCGGGAUGACGGCCUUCGGGUUGUAAACCGCUUUCGCCUGUGACGAAGCGUGAGUGACGGUAAUGGGUAAAGAAGCACCGGCUAACUACGUG
rnacentral:rRNA from 1 species